rnacentral:rRNA from 1 species
AGUGAACGCUGGCGGUAGGCCUAACACAUGCAAGUCGAACGGCAGCACAGUAAGAGCUUGCUCUUACGGGUGGCGAGUGGCGGACGGGUGAGGAAUACAUCGGAAUCUACUUUUUCGUGGGGGAUAACGUAGGGAAACUUACGCUAAUACCGCAUACGACCUACGGGUGAAAGCAGGGGAUCUUCGGACCUUGCGCGAUUGAAUGAGCCGAUGUCGGAUUAGCUAGUUGGCGGGGUAAAGGCCCACCAAGGCGACGAUCCGUAGCUGGUCUGAGAGGAUGAUCAGCCACACUGGAACUGAGACACGGUCCAGACUCCUACGGGAGGCAGCAGUGGGGAAUAUUGGGCAAUGGGCGCAAGCCUGAUCCAGCCAUACCGCGUGGGUGAAGGAGGCCUUCGGGUUGUAAAGCCCUUUUGUUGGGAAAGAAAAGCAGCAGGUUAAUACCCCGCUGUUCUGACGGUACCCAAAGAAUAAGCACCGGCUAACUUCGUG